AAUCAGCAUUCUCCAUCUGUAGAUCUCAGAGCGCUUUACAAAGGAAUGCAGUAUCGUUAUCCCCAUUUUACAGAUGGGCAAACUGAGG